rnacentral:rRNA from 1 species
ACCCUGUUGAGCUUGACUCUAGUCUGACGUUGUGAAAUGACUUGGGAGGUGUAGCAUAAGUGGGAGGGCUUGCCCGAUCUUGAAAUACCACUACUUCCAACGUUGUUUUACUUAUUCCGUGAAGUACAGCCCCCCAGUUAACGCUGGGGGUUCUAGCAUUAAGCUUGGGCUUCGGCCUGGGUGAUGUAAUUGGGAGACAACGUCAGGUGGGGAGUUUGGCUGGGG